rnacentral:rRNA from 1 species
UACGGAGGGUGCUAGCGUUGUUCGGAAUUACUGGGCGUAAAGGGCGCGUAGGCGGCCAUCUAAGUCAGACGUGAAAUCCCCCGGCUUAACCUGGGAACUGCGUCUGAUACUGGACGGCUGGAGUUUGGGAGAGGGAUGUAGAAUUCCAGGUGUAGCGGUGAAAUGCGUAGAUAUCUGGAGGAAUACCGGUGGCGAAGGCGGCAUCCUGGACCAAUACUGACGCUGAGGCGCGAAAGCUAGGGGAGCAAACGGG